AGAGUUUGAUCAUGGCUCAGAUUGAACGCUGGCGGCAUGCCUAACACAUGCAAGUCGAACGGUAACAGGCCCUUCGGGGUGCUGACGAGUGGCAGACGGGUGAGCAAUACGUAGGAAUCUGCCCUGUAGUGGGGGAUAGCUCGGCGAAAGCCGGAUUAAUACCGCAUACGAUCUACGGAUGAAAGCGGGGGACCGUAAGGCCUCGCGCUAUAGGAUGAGCCUACGUCUGAUUAGCUAGUUGGUAGGGUAACGGCCUACCAAGGCGACGAUCAGUAGCUGGUCUGAGAGGAUGAUCAGCCACACCGGAACUGAGACACGGUCCGGACUCCUACGGGAGGCAGCAGUGGGGAAUAUUGGACAAUGGGGGAAACCCUGAUCCAGCAAUGCCGCGUGUGUGAAGAAGGCCUGCGGGUUGUAAAGCACUUUUGUUGGGGAAGAAAAGCCGUCGGAUAACACCUGGCGGUCUUGACGGUACCCAAAGAAUAAGCACCGGCUAACUCCGUGCCAGCAGCCGCGGUAAUACGGAGGGUGCGAGCGUUAAUCGGAAUUACUGGGCGUAAAGCGCGCGUAGGCGGUUUGAUAAGUCGGGUGUGAAAGCCCCGGGGCUUAACCUGGGAAUUGCAUUCGAUACUGUCUGACUCGAGUCUGGGAGAGGGAAGCGGAAUUCCGGGUGUAGCGGUGAAAUGCGUAGAUAUCCGGAGGAACAUCAGUGGCGAAGGCGGCUUCCUGGCCUAAGACUGACGCUGAGGUGCGAAAGCGUGGGGAGCAAACAGGAUUAGAUACCCUAGUAGUCC
rnacentral:rRNA from 1 species